UACGAAGGGGGCUAGCGUUGCUCGGAAUCACUGGGCGUAAAGCGCACGUAGGCGGCUUUUUAAGUUAGGGGUGAAAUCCUGGAGCUCAACUCCAGAACUGCCUUUGAUACUGAGAAGCUUGAGUCCGGGAGAGGUGAGUGGAACUGCGAGUGUAGAGGUGAAAUUCGUAGAUAUUCGCAAGAACACCAGUGGCGAAGGCGGCUCACUGGCCCGGUACUGACGCUGAGGUGCGAAAGCGUGGGGAGCAAACAGG
rnacentral:rRNA from 1 species